rnacentral:rRNA from 1 species
UACGUAGGGUGCGAGCGUUGUCCGGAAUUAUUGGGCGUAAAGAGCGUGUAGGCGGCCAGAUAAGUCCGCUGUGAAAUCUCGAGGCUCAACUUCGAGCUGUCGGUGGAAACUAUCUGGCUAGAGUCCGGAAGAGGAGAAUGGAAUUCCUGGUGUAGCGGUGAAAUGCGCAGAUAUCAGGAAGAACACCCGUGGCGAAGGCGGUUCUCUGGGACGGUACUGACGCUGAGACGCGAAAGCGUGGGGAGCGAACAGG